CAUGACACAUUCAGAGCUCACAGUGCUCGGCAGAGGAUAAAACUGUGGUUCCCUAGACAGCAUGAGCAGCAAUCCCACAGAUUUGGUUUUUGUUUUCUUUUGGAGGCAGGGUGUCAUGUAGCCCAGGCCAGUUUUCAACUUGCUAUGUAGGCAAGAGUGGCUUUGAGCUUCUGAUACUGUCUCCACCUCUUGAGUGUUAAGGAUCAGAGGUGCCUUAGCACACUGUUCUGUGCAGUGUGGGGACUGAGCCAUGGCUUUGUGAAUGCUAGACAAGCACUCUACCAACUGAGCUAUAUCCUUAGCCUCCAUAGAAGACUUGGACACUCAAAAAAAGGCAAAUGCUUUGUUUUCUUGAUAGAUCUUCAGAUUCUGGGCAAUAUCUACAAGGAAAGAGACACUCCAAUAUAGAUAGACUAGAGGCUGUGGCUUUUCCCUAGUUCUCUUUUAAGGCCUUUAAUUUUUAUUUUUUAAUUUCUUAAUAAGUACUUAUUUCAUGCUCUGUGCACAUAUAUAUGUGCACAUCAUGUGGCUGGUGCCCAUAGAGGACAGAAGAGGGCAUCGGAGUCUUAUGGUUGUGAGUUGCUUAUACAUCUGAGAAAGCUUUUGUAUGGGUGCUUAGGAACCAAACCUAGGUCCUCUGCAAGAACAGCUGCUCUUAGGCGAAGAGUCGUCUCUUUAAACCCCUAUUAUUUUUGAGACACGGUUUUGAGGAGCUUUGAGCUGGUGCUGAACUCCUGAUCAUCUUGCCACCAUCCCCCAAGUGCUGAGAUGCCGACAAGCCUGGCUUAGAUUUUCAAUACUCAAAUGAAUGCAAAAUUGGAUGUCACAAGCUUUUUGUGGAUGAUAAGCUAUGUUUUCUACUCAUUGCUAUGUAGAGACACUGGGUAACCAUAGCAAGCCAAGCCAAUAUAAAGUACUACAGCAAGGGGAUAAAAUCUAGACCUUGAAACAUCUAAAAA